rnacentral:snRNA from 1 species
CGUGCUCCGGGCGUCGGCCUGU